UGAACAUCACGAAGUGGAAGUUAAGCUCCAGGGGGACGUGCACGGAUAUUGUAUUUCCACGGUAGGUCCCCAAACCUGCAGAGGGAAUGUUGAUGCUCGUGAAAGUGAAAUUGCAUGAACUCUUCCCCUUUUGGUCUCUCAUUGUUCGUUCAUCCAUAAAUGCGUCAGCUCUUGAUGCAGUCAGCAUCUAGCAGGCAAGCAAUCGGGACAUCUAAAGCUUUCUUCUCCUUAAAACCUCCUUUGAGAGCCGGAUGCGGCAGAGGCUUGCUCCUUUGGAGAGAUGGGUAGACCAGGGAAAUAAAGCACAUUAUGUUACAUGCUUCACGUGGAAGCUUGGCUUCAUGCAAGAGCUUGGAGUUUCCAGAAACACCGCACUGAAACUCCUCUCCUUGGGCGAUCCCAGCGCCUCGAGGCAAGAGCUCUGACGCAGCUAAGACCUCACUCCAACCCACAGAAGCGCAAACAACCUUUCUUCUCAGCCGAGCCUUUGAAGCUCUCUACUCGCCGCAGGAACCCUUCGCAGCCCGGGAAACAGAAGCGUUCGCCGCCAGCGGCCGGCAGGGGGCAGCACACCCUAGCCUUUCCUGCCUCGGAGGCUGAGCGCCCGCGCCCGGCGGGUGGGAGUCCCCGGGUCCCCAAACCUGUGGCCGGUGUUGUCCUCGGUGACUCCACCAGCAGGUGGGUUCCUUCCCUUCUCCGGCGCCAGACUCGGGCCGAAAGGGAGAGAAGAAUUCCAGGGCAGAGAUGGGAGCGGGGGCGGGCACGUGGCCAAGGCCUGCGGACGAUUUUCGCCGCUGAGAGCGGGAGAUGCUGGCCCAGGCGGCGGCUGCCUGCAUUCCGGCGACGUCACGGGGCGGCGGCGGUAGCAGCGGCCUCGCGGCCGGGGCCCGCGCGGCGGGAGCCAGGACGCGCCCCAGGGAAGGAUGCGCAGGCCCGGAGCCAAGAAACAAUCAAAUCUACUCAGCUAGGUCAAGAAUUUCUACUGUAUGUUCCAAAUUCAGCCUCUCAUUGAGCACUUGUAGAACAAGGCAACGUAAUUAGCAAACAACCUGUUAAAUGUUUUGGAUAGUUUGGCUUUAUUUGGUCUCAACAUCUGCUUCCGUGUAAUUUCUCUACCAGUGAGGACAUGGUCAGCUGUGCUGCUGUAAUGAACAGCCCAUGUCUCUUUCCCACAUUGUCUGGAGGGGGUACCUGCCCCUGCCCCCCGCCAACUCCAUUGGCCAGAGCUGGUCACAUGGUCUCAGAUAACUGCUGGGAUUGGAGAAGCUGGGGAGCAAAUAGAAUGUUUCGGGAUUACCCCGCCCUCUGUGGUAGAGUCCUACCACACGUUCUAGCGUUGGCCUCAGGAACACAGAGUAAGGCUCUCCCACAUAUGCUUGGAGAUAUUUGAAAACAGCAGUGGCAUUCCACUCUGCCACCUAUGUCUGUUCCCACACGCACAUGCUCUGUGCCCUGUGUAGUCUUCUGGUUUCAGAAGCCUUACUCUUCGGAUUGUUUUUCCUAUCGCGUAGCUUCUCAUCCCCUUGCCGUCCUGGUAACCCUUUUCUGGAUGCCUUACCACGUGCUAAUGUUACUAUCAAUACCCCCAAAUGUCUUGCGCUUUAAACAGAGCUGCAUUUUCCAUGUCAUUAACGUUCGGUCUCACCCACUUGAAGGCAGGGUCUUCAUCCUUCUGGGCUUGACGGCCGCUGCCGACGACACCUUCCUCUCCUGCCAGCACAAGGCUUGGCUCGUAGCCACCCAGUUUGCCCCAAGGAUUGUACACCUGCUGUUUCCAUUGAGGAUCGUGAUGCUAACGAAUUCAAGAAGCCGUAUCCUAAAGCCGUGACCAGUCAGUUCAUUAAGACAUACGACUGCUUUAUGAAAAGAUCUGCUCAAGCCAUAAGUCACGGCCAAGUUCCGUGCUUUUCAGUACCUCCUGCUGCUAUGUUUUCCCACUGGAUGUGGAUGAACCACUGGGGUUCAGACAGUAGACAGCCUAGGAGAACAAUGUCACGGAACCGAUAACAAGC
rnacentral:lncRNA from 1 species